rnacentral:rRNA from 1 species
CUACGGGUCGCACCAGUGAGGAAUAUUGCGCAAUGGGGGAAACCCUGACGCAGCGACGCCGCGUGGAUGAUGAAGGCCUUCGGGUCGUAAAAUCCUGUCAGAAAGAAAGAAGUGUAUGGUAGCUAAUAUCUGCCAUACUUGACGGUACCUUCAAAGGAAGCACCGGCUAACUCCGUACCAGCAGCCGCGGUAAUACGGAGGGUGCAAGCGUUGUUCGGAAUUACUGGGCGUAAAGCGCGCGUAGGCGGUUUUAUAAGUCAGAUGUGAAAGUCCACGGCUCAACCAUGGAAGUGCAUUUGAAACUGUAAGACUUGAGUAUUGGAGGGGGUAGUGGAAUUCCCGGUGUAGAGGUGAAAUUCGUAGAUAUCGGGAGGAAUACCGGUGGCGAAGGCGACUAUCUGGCCAAAUACUGACGCUGAGGUGCGAAAGCGUGGGGAGCAAACAGGAUUAGAUACCCUUGUAGUC